rnacentral:rRNA from 1 species
UACAGAGGGUGCGAGCGUUGCUCGGAAUUACUGGGCGUGAAGGGCGCGUAGGCGGACAGUUUAGUCAGAGGUGAAAGCCCAGGGCUCAACCUUGGAAUUGCCUUUGAUACUGGCUGUCUUGAGUUCGGGAGAGGUGAGUGGAAUGCCGAGUGUAGAGGUGAAAUUCGCAGAUAUUCGGCGGAACACCAGUGGCGAAGGCGACUCACUGGCCCGAUACUGACGCUGAGGCGCGAAAGCGUGGGGAGCAAACAGG